UUACUGAUCUCAGUCACUCUGUAACACCAAACAUGAACACACGCUGUUAGAUUUCCAUGAAUAUCACUACAUUUUCUUGUUGGGAACUAUUUUGUUUGCAGCAAAGUUACGUGUCUGAAUAAACAACGGCGGAGCCUCCUGCCCCGCGUUCUUCAUGGGUGUCAGGCUUCACGACUACCGGAGAGGCUCUCCUUCGAAGGCUCCUGGCCUUAGCGACAACCGACAAGGAGAGGCGCCGCCGAUUUGAAUACACAGCCCGCUUUA